rnacentral:rRNA from 1 species
GCAGCGACGCAGCGUGCGGGAUGACGGCCUUCGGGUUGUAAACCGCUUUCAGCAGGGAAGAAGCGCAAGUGACGGUACCUGCAGAAGAAGUACCGGCUAACUACGUGCCAGCAGCCGCGGUAAUACGUAGGGUACGAGCGUUGUCCGGAAUUAUUGGGCGUAAAGAGCUCGUAGGUGGUUGGUCACGUCUGCUGUGGAAACGCAACGCUUAACGUUGCGCGUGCAGUGGGUACGGGCUGACUAGAGUGCAGUAGGGGAGUCUGGAAUUCCUGGUGUAGCGGUGAAACGCGCAGAUAUCAGGAGGAACACCGGUGGCGAAGGCGGGACUCUGGGCUGUAACUGACACUGAGGAGCGAAAGCAUGGGGAGCGAACAGGAUUAGAUACCCUGGUAGUCCAUGCCGUAAACGUUGGGCACUAGGUGUGGGGGGCAUUCCACGUUCUCCGCGCCGUAGCUAACGCAUUAAGUGCCCCGCCUGGGGAGUACG